rnacentral:rRNA from 1 species
UACGAAGGGGGCUAGCGUUGCUCGGAAUCACUGGGCGUAAAGGGCGCGUAGGCGGCCAUUCAAGUCGGGGGUGAAAGCCUGUGGCUCAACCACAGAAUUGCCUUCGGUACUGUUUGGCUUGAGUCUGGUAGAGGUUGGUGGAACUGCGAGUGUAGAGGUGAAAUUCGUAGAUAUUCGCAAGAACACCGGUGGCGAAGGCGGCCAACUGGACCAGUACUGACGCUGAGGCGCGAAAGCGUGGGGAGCAAACAGG